rnacentral:ribozyme from 17 species
AUUAGUUUGACUUUUUUUUCUUUUUCUUUUUGUUGCUUCCGAACAGAGUGGUUGCAAGCCACGUAAAAAUUGCCAAAAUAAGAGGGAUUAUGAAUUCUGUCAGGGUUAAAAAGAGAAUGGAAAAAAGAUUCGAAACGAUAUCGGAUUUUCCAUCUU